GGUCCCGCCUGCCCAGUGAUACAUUUUAACGGCCGCGGUAUCCUAACCGUGCAAAGGUAGCGUAAUCACUUGUCUCCUAAAUAGAGACCAGUAUGAACGGCUAAAUGAGGACAGGCCUGUCUCCUGUGGCCAAUCAGUGAAACUGAUCCUCCAGUACAAAAGCUGGAAUAUAAACAUAAGACGAGAAGACCCUGUGGAGCUUCAAACACCCACUAACAAGCACCCCUGCCCCUAGUGUAAAGUUUUAAGUUGGGGCGACUUCGGAGUAAAACGAAACCUCCGAGAACAGAGCCACACACUCUUACCGAGGCCUACAAGCCAAAGUUAAAACAACAGACCCAGUAAUACUGACCAACGGACCAAGUUACCCCAGGGAUAACAGCGCUAUCUUCUUCAAGAGUCCAUAUCGACAAGAAGGUUUACGACCUCGAUGUUGGAUCAGGACACCCAAAUGGUGCAGCCGCUAUUAAUGGUUCGUUUGUUCAACGAUU
rnacentral:rRNA from 1 species